rnacentral:piRNA from 1 species
UUGGUCCUGUCCUUUCAAUAUUAAGGGAUGU